AAAGGCAGCUAGCCCACGUACGCAACCUUUCUCUCCUUACCUCCACCUAGAUCGGCACGUCCUCCCCAUCCAUGGCGUGGCCAGCGGGAGAGGCGCUGGGUCCAGUCAAAUCGGCCGGACGCGUAGUGUGGGGAGGUCGGGAAGAUGGAGAGACGGCGGACAUAGGGGUCGAGUGGGGUAGGUGUGGCUGCUGGAGAAGAUCGGAUCUCUCAUCUCCCCUAUUUUCCUGUCGCCACCACCUCUCCUCUCAUCCAUGUCAGGGCCUCGCCUCCUCGCCCUCACUGCCCACCGGCAACCUCCCAGUCCCCCUAGCCGCAUGGUGGCGAAGAUAGCAGCGGCCAGUGUUGUCACCGCCGAUUCAGCUUCGUUUGCGUGCCGGGGUGGUGGUCUCGGCAGGCGGUAUGGCAGGGUACGAGGAGGGGAGGAGGAGGAAGAAGAGGAGGAGCAGGAGAGGUCCGCCGCUGAGGGGGCGUGAGAUGUAGAAGGUGUUGGGGAGCCGUGGGUGGCGGAAACGCUGGUGGCGCGCAAGGCAGAGACGUGCCUGCCGAGCCCUCGACGGCGAUGGGUCUGGGGAGGCGUGUUGUGGAAGUUGCAGGUUGCAGGUUUGUGCUAAGUGGGGGAGAUGUGGUGAAAGCGGCGAAAGGGAAAGGCUCCGGAUUGUUGGAUUGGGAGUUUGGACUCUGCAUGCAAAAUGAUUGUCGGCCUGAAAGGCUAGGAUCGGGAACUCCUCUGGGUUGCUCUUUGCUUAUACAUGCAACAAAAUAUAUUGCACUUCCACUGAUCACCGUUCAUCUCUACAUUCUCAGUAGGGAUGAACAAUUUCUGAUAUGAUGUUUGUGACCAAGGUGGCUUGGCUGAUGGCUGCAACAUAGUUGGCAAACAAUUGGAUCAGGUUUCAAAAAAUGUUCAUGUAAGACUUUUCGUCCUGUAUUCACUUAAAUAGUUCAACCACUUGCUCGGAGAGAGGAUGUCGAGGAUGAUGGUGACGAGCAAGUCGGAGUUCGUGAGGCCGAAGCCAUUCCAGCUCUUCCACAGCCACAAGGAGAGCCUUGACAGGCUGUACGAGUGGGACAAGAAGCUCUACGAGGAAGUCAAGACGAGCGCGUUCGGCUGUGGUACGACAAGAAGUGCGUGCACCUGAGGAGCCAUGACGCCAACAGUGCGGAACCGUUCGCCCUCAAGACGACCAGGGCUGCCAUCAGGACCUCGGGACCAAGCUCAGCAUCUCCCUCGCCUCCAUCGACACCGUGUCCCAGAGGGUUAUCACCUCGCAACAACGAGCUGCUGCCUACUGCUGUAGGCCGUAGCUUGCUUAGCUCAUCCGAAGGUGCAUGUAUUUAUUAUAGUGUGCUCAAUCGAUCCCCAAGAACACUGCCGCGGUAGGUGUUUGAUCAAUGUUUCACAUUGUUGUGUUCUAUGUAUAGGCUGAUAAGGAUGUAGCGAGUGAUCCGCGUGAACCACCGGGUGAUGAAGCGCAUGGCGGACGAGGCAAGCGUUCUGUCAUCGUGGGUCGCGCGGUCGUUCAUCAAGACUUUUAGUGUAUGUACAUGUGCUAUCCAGACUGAAAAAGGCAACUGAAAAGCGCCGUAUCAGGUGGCGCCUCUUGAUCUCCCAUGCACCUAUGACCUAUCAGUGCAAUGAUCAUCUUCUACUGCGCAUGUUUCUGCUUGUAAUUAACUAUGUAAUUGAUUUCAAUUCCUUUAUGAUAUGCAUGGCAAUAUAAUAUGUUCAUCAA